AACGAACGCUGGCGGCAUGCCUAACACAUGCAAGUCGAACGAGACCUUCGGGACUAGUGGCGCACGGGUGCGUAACGCGUGGGAACCUGCACUUAGGUUCGGAAUAACUCCCCGACAGGGGUGCUAAUACCGGAUAAUGUCUUCGGACCAAAGAUUUAUCGCCUUUGGAUGGGCCCGCGUUGGAUUAGCUAGUUGGUAGGGUAAAAGCCUACCAAGGCGACGAUCCAUAGCUGGUCUGAGAGGAUGAUCAGCCACACUGGGACUGAGACACGGCCCAGACUCCUACGGGAGGCAGCAGUGGGGAAUGUUGGACAGUGGGCGAAGGCCUGAUCCAGCAAUGCCGCGUGAGUGAUGAAGGCCUUAGGGUUGUAAAGCUCUUUUACCCGGGAUGAUAAUGACAGUACCGGGAGAAUAAGCUCCGGCUAACUCCGUG
rnacentral:rRNA from 1 species